UUAACGCGAAGAACCUUACCAAGGCUUGACAUACACCGGAAACGGCUAGAGAUAGUCGCCCCCUUGUGGUCGGUGUACAGGUGGUGCAUGGUUGUCGUCAGCUCGUGUCGUGAGAUGUUGGGUUAAGUCCCGCAACGAGCGCAACCCUCGUCCUAUGUUGCCAGCGGGUUAUGCCGGGGACUCAUGGGAGACUGCCGGGGUCAACUCGGAGGAAGGUGGGGAUGACGUCAAAUCAUCAUGCCCCUUAUGUCUUGGGCUUCACGCAUGCUACAAUGGCCGGUACAGAGGGCUGCGAUACCGUAAGGUGGAGCGAAUCCCAAAAAGCCGGUCUCAGUUCGGAUUGGGGUCUGCAACUCGACCCCAUGAAGUCGGAGUCGCUAGUAAUCGCAGAUCAGCAACGCUGCGGUGAAUACGUUCCCGGGCCUUGUACACACCGAAUC
rnacentral:rRNA from 1 species